ensembl:lncRNA
AGAUCCUCUAUAAUCUCAUGACCAAGAAUUCAGCGCUGCCGUUUCCUUCUGGUCUGUCUCUCCUGCUAGUGGCGUGCAGGCUCUUAGCUGUGACCCAUGAGAUCGAAUUCCCUCAUCAGGGAUUGCACCCAGGCCCCUUGCAUUGGGAGCGUGGAGCCUUAGCCACGGGAUCACCAGGUUGUGUUCUUUAUAUCUUCCUUUGCUGUUCGAGUCAGCACUGAGAUGAGCAUCUUUGCACAUCACACGUAGUGUGAGUUUCUAAAUGAUCAUCUAAUCUGGUACGUUGGGCUGAAAAUAGAGGAAGACAGCUUGUCGGGCCAGCGGUGCUUUCUCAAGGCAUUUUUUUUGCUGGGAGAGAAGGUGAGAGAUAAAUAGAAUUUGGGCAGGGGGCUUACAACAACAAGAGUGAAAAACAGAUUUUAAAAUAAGAAUUAUCAUGUAAAUUACUGGAGUUUCCAUAAGUGAGCCUCAGGUCCACUCUGGCUCAGAAAUUUGGGGUG